UUCAUCAAAACGCCUAAUUUCAAUGUGAGGCUGAUGGUUGGGCCAUAUCAACUUGUACAUGGAAGCCAAGGUUGCCAAAGCAUCUGCCAUUUGAUUCUCUUCUCGAGGAAUAUGAGAGAAAGUGAUUUUGUCGAAUUUCGGGAGUAACUUCAGCACGUAAUCCCGGUAUGGAAUUAGGUUAGCAUGUCUUGUUUCCCAAUCACCUCUGAUCUGAUGUAUCACCAAGGCGG
rnacentral:lncRNA from 1 species